GGAUUAGAUACCCUGGUAGUCCACGCCGUAAACGAUGAUUACUGGUUGUGUGCGAUACACAGUGCGCGACUGAGCGAAAGCAUUAAGUAAUCCACCUGGGGAGUACGUUCGCAAGAAUGAAACUCAAAGGAAUUGACGGGGGCCCGCACAAGCGGAGGAACAUGUGGUUUAAUUCGAUGAUACGCGAGGAACCUUACCUGGGCUUAAAUGUAGAGUGCAUGAAUUGGAAACAGUUCUUUUCUUCGGAACUCUUUACAAGGUGCUGCAUGGUUGUCGUCAGCUCGUGCCG
rnacentral:rRNA from 1 species